rnacentral:rRNA from 1 species
UACGUAGGAGACGAGCGUUGUCCGGAGUUACUGGGCGUAAAGGGUGCGCAGGCGGCCAAGCGCGUCGCUAGUGAAAUCUCCCGGCUCAACUGGGAGGGUGGUAGCGAUACGGCAUGGCUUGAGGCUCGGUGAGGGGCGUGGAAUUCCGGGUGGAGCGGUGAAAUGCGUAGAGAUCCGGAGGAACACCAACGGCGUAGGCAGCGCCCUAGACGAGACCUGACGCUCAGGCACGAAAGCUCGGGGAGCGAACAGG